CGGACGGGUGAGUAAUGUCUGGGAAACUGCCUGAUGGAGGGGGGUAACUACUGGAAACGGUAGCUAAUACCGCAUAACGUCGCAAGACCAAGAGGGGACCUUCGGGCCUCUUGCCAUCGGAUGUGCCCAGAUGGGAUUAGCUAGUAGGUGGGGUAACGGCUCACCUAGGCGACGAUCCCUAGCUGGUCUGAGAGGAUGACCAGCCACACUGGAACUGAGACACGGUCCAG
rnacentral:rRNA from 1 species